rnacentral:lncRNA from 1 species
UAAGAAGAAGGAGUCAUAUUCGGACGGCUUAGUUAAUGCGAUAAAAGGGACAAGCUGAUGAGGAGUUUUUUGUCGCAGAGGGUGAUGAGCAUCUUGAGGAUGAUGUUUCUGGCGGUUAAGUAAAGCAUAGAGAAUGGCUUUCAUCCAGGUGGUGCCAGAUUUGGGUGGAGUUACAAGGAAGACAUCGUUUUGUCGAGGUCGAAAAUGUUGUUGACAGUCGAUCAAGCCUUUCAAACUUAUAGAACCAAACCAGAAUCCUUGGUAUUGAUAAGUGUAGUCUUCAGUUAUGCCUUUGGCUUUUGGCAGGGAUGAAAGCCAUUCUUGGCUACAAACCACAGGCUCAGCGUCAGACUCUGUUGUUUUCGCUUCCAUGAUAUGUUAUGUUAACAUGCAAAGAAAAGACAUGUGAUAUAUUAUAAUAUUGGACACCACUAGCCCAGGGACCUAUAGCAUAUUCCUCGAUUAAAUAAUUGGAUUACAGCUCUACAAUCACAAACCGUUAGAAAGAGUAGGACCCCUAGGUAUUACAUUUAUGGAAAAUGCUUAUUGCACAUAAUUGUGUACUAAAACAUGUACAUAAUGAUAUGUGUCAGAUUUUAAUUGGAUGACCCCCUGCAUUUACACCAAUCACCCCAAUUAAAACCCACCACAUCACUUGCCACAUCAUUAUGUACAAAUUUUCUGUACACAAUUAUGUGCACCUAGCACUACUCUACAUUUAUAGUAGUGUUACAUACACAAAAUUGGAUACUCCCUCUGUCCCAUUUAAUUCUAUACGUUUCUUUUUAACUGCUCGACACGCAUUUCAAUGCUCUUAUAAAAUAUAGUUCCGUAACUUUUUUUUGAGAUUUUCUUUUUCUGUAUAAAAAUAUAACAUCCAAACUUUAAUACAGAAAAGAAAAAUUUUAAAAACAAAUUGCACAACUACAUUUUGCAGGAGCAUUAAAGUCCGUGCCGCGUCCCCGUCCCCCAAUGUAUACAACUCAGGGGGACGGAGGGAGUACAUAAUUUUGGACAAAAUGACAUGACAAGUAAGGUGGGAAGUUUUAAGUGGUGCUAUUAAUGCAUAUACAGGGGCCAAUCAAAUCACAAGUUAACACAUACUUAUUCUGUGAAUGUUUUUGUACACAAUCCUGUGCAUCUAACAUUUUCCUUACAGUUAAUAUAAAUACAUAUUUUAAAAAUUAUUUUAAUUUUUUUACAUUGUUGUGUGUGUCAGAAAUAAUUUUAAAAUAUAAUACAUAAACUUUGAGGGAACACAGGAGGUAAAGUAGCUAUUAGAGACUAAAUAUAUACACUGUUACCUCUCAAACAGUUAAAGUGAACGGCGUAUUUGGACGGAAUAGUGACUAGGGUUUACAACUUGCACGGUAAUGUCAAGUGUAAGGUGCAUAUUGCCACGUUUUAAAGUUUAGGUACUAAACUGCGUUUGAAGCAAAACUAAGAGAUACAAAAUGUAAUUAACUCUUCAAUUAUUUCCCAGCUGAUUGACAAAUUUGCUGUUGUUUAUCCACCCAGCAGUUGCUCAGUCAUUUGUAGUGUACAGAAUGCUACUCCCUCCGAUUCUAAUUACUUUUCCCGUUUGAAAUGUCGGUACUGUUCAUAACACGAGACAAAUUACUAAUUUACGUAUAAUCUAUAAGAUAAAAUAUAGUCAUGAGUGAUCUUAUUGGAUUCGUAUUUAUAAGUACUUUAAUACGGUGAAAGUUUUAUAUUUAAAACUAAUAUAAAAUUAAAGAUAUUUAUAAUCAAAAAUGUGUAUUGGCAAACGUGAAAAGGACAAAUGGGAAAAGUAUUUAGGGACGGAGGGAGUAACAGACAUAGGCAACAUCAUCGUUUAAUCUUAGUAUUGGCCAAUAAAUUCAGAUGAAACUGUGGUUUCUUUCAGAUUUGGGUGAAUCGGCAUAUAUGAUAUACCUGACAUUAGUAGGAUAUAAAUAGAAAUAGCCUUGCUUUCGUAUUUUUUUCUUGUUGAGUUACGGUGAGAAGUUAUUAUUGCUCAAUAUUUAUAUUCAGACAUAAUUUUGAUAGAUUUUGGAGUCUUCUAAUUAGAAUAUGAUAAUAAGGUGAUGAUUUUUGCAUGAGUAUAUCAAAUUUAUAUAUUCACUUUUCAUUAUGUAAUACACGCCUAUGACUCAAUGGGGUGGACAAUCAAAAUCGCCUAAAAACCAAAGAUAUUAUUGACAUGCAUGCAUCUGGUGUAAAUAUAAUUCCUAACUAUGUUAUAAACUCCCUCACCAACUAUUGGAUACAUCACAUAUGCGAAAUUUAUUAAAAUCUUGUUAUUCGGGACUAAGGGAAUUUUUUGGAUAUUUUGAACUGAUAAUUUUGUGAGAUUUUCGGAGUAUUCUAUACUUUCAUAAUCAACGAAAAGUGUUGAAGUUUGCAUUUAAAUUCUAAAAACUCUUUUGCAUAAAAUGAAAAAUAAAUAUAAUUUAUUAACAUUCAUAAAUUAUUAUUACUUAAUUAAAAUCCGAAUCAAACAACACCUUAAUUGAAACGUGCUCCUGAGAAGGUACAGUACUUGGUAUACAUCGAGGGAGUACUACUUAAAAAUGCAUACAUAUGAUGAUAAGCCAUCUCAAACUCAUACUUUCAGGGACAUAAAACAAAGAGACACAAACAAGCCAACAAGAAGAUCAAUAAUACAAGCAACAAACACACAUUAAAUUCGAUAUUAAUUUUGGCCAUAAUGUAUAUAAGUGAUGAUGAUAUAUAUAUAUAUAUCAAAGUUUUAAUCCUGAACCACGGAACUUGUCCUGGGUAAUCUGAUCCAACUUAGCAGCCAUCUCUGGAGUUAGCCACUUAUUUCCUUCUCCAACUUGACCGUUCCGAAAAUAUGAAGAAUUGCUUACUCCGGGCAAGAAAUGUCCUGUGCUAUUAACCUGCAGUUUGCUCAUGCUCCCAAAACUACACAAACUCGUGAUCUGAUCAACCAUUUCCAUUAAUUCCUCCUCUGGUGAGAAGGGUCUCCCCAGAAACCGCGCCAGACGCCUGAGUUGAGCAUGAGGCUCAGACUUCAACUCUUCAUACCUCAUAAACAGCACCUUGUUUGGUCUCUCCAGGCUUUCCUUCCAAUAUUCCAAGAUUUGAUCCCAGAUAGGACCCGCAACGUUUGUGCCUUUGCAGAAUAAAUGAAAUGCCUCCUCCAAAGAAACGGGAGAAGAUCGUAAACCCAGGGCCGGCUCAUAAUGAAGGCGAGUUAGGCAAUCGCCUAAGGCCCCCAUCUGGAGAAGGCCCCAAAAUUUUAUUGGUAUGUAUUUAUGUAGGUAUAUAUGUACAAAAAUAAAUAAACUAGCUUCAUGAUUUAAAAGAAUAAAAAAAAAAUAUUCGAAUUAUCUUACAAUAGGCCCCAAAAUGAAAUUAAUAUGUAUACAUUGAGGUAUAUUUAUAUAUGCAAAAAGAAAUUAGUUUCAUGAUAUUAAAAGAAAAAUUAAAAAAGAACUAGAAUUAAUAUCUAAAUCUGGUAAAAAAAUUGAGAAAUACUGUGUGAUAAUUUUUUUUGAAAAGAAUGAUAACUAAAAUAUUAAUAUUGAUAGUUUUAGUCAUGUUUUUUUUGUGCUAACUUAAUAAAUACUUGAUUUGAAUCUCUAACUAAUAAUAAAUAUGUAAAUAAUUUUUUUAUUGGGAUGUAACUUGGUUCUUGUGAACAUAAAAUUUAGUUCUCAAAAAUAAAAAAAUGUUAGAGAUUCUAUUAUGAUUUUUUCAGUCUCUCUUCAUUUUAAUUACUUUUUAAAUUUUAAUUUUAAUAACACAAAUACUUUUAUUAUAAUAUUAAAUAAUAUAAAACUAUCAAUGUAUAUAAGUUAUUUAUGUUAUACACAAGACACGUUACACUGAUUAACAUUAAUUUAUAAUGUUAAUGUCAUUUUUCAUCUCCGGGUCUUCUAGAGUCUAAACAAUUUACUUAAUUAUCUAAACAUCAUCUUUACUCUAUAUCUUUACUCUAUAUCUUCUCCGUCCAGUUUUUGCAAAAAAAAAAAAAAUUACUUCUGAGUUUUAUAUUAUAAUAUUUAAUAUUAAAAAAAUAUUUAUAUUAGUAAUAUAAUAUUUAAAUUUUUGCUUAGGCCUCAUUUUGAGGUUCCGCCUAAGGCCACAAAAUUUCUUGAGCCGGUCCUGCGUAAACCAAUUUUGUUUGCGAAGUGAAAGAGUGAAGUAAAAGUGUCCUUGAUGUCCCUGCACAAAUACACAAUCUUGAUGUUAGUUGAUCCAUCAUCAUCCUCCUCUGUUAUGGACUUGGGGAGGCAACGUAUAGGAAAAUGGCAGCCAAAGAUCCUACUAGUGCUGUCUAAGAAUAAGGAGUCAUAUUCGGACGGCUUAGUUAAUUCCAUAAAAGGGACAAGCUGAUGAGGAGUCUUUUGUCGCAGAGGGUGAUGAGCAUCUUGAGGAUGAUAUUUUUGGCGGUGAAGUAAAGCAUAGAGAAUGGCUUUCAUCCAGGUGGUGCCAGAUUUGGGUGCAGUUACAAGCAAGACAUCGUUUUGUCGAGGCCGAAAAUGUUGUUGACAGUCGAUCAAGCCUUGCAAACUUAUAGUACCAAACCAGAAUCCUUGGUAUUGAUAAGUGUUGUCUUCCGUUAUGCCUUUGGCUUUUGGCAGGGAUGAAAGCCAUUCUUCGCUAUAAACCACUGUCUCAUCAUGCUCUGUUGUUUUUGCUUCCAUGAUACUUUGUUGUGUAACAUUGAAAGCAAAAAAAUGUGAUAUAUAAUGCAUUCAGCAUCAAUGCCUUGCUCUGUCGUUGGUGGCGUUGGUUUCCCUGCAGGUAAACGUUAUAUAUCAUAUUAAUGCUCGCAUCCGAGUUGGUUGGAAAAUUGAUAAAACUAACAAACAUUUCCAAUACUAUCAACAUGUCUGCCCAACAUGUGUGAGCCUAUUAAUAGACAUGGGCAAUACUAUCAUCGUUUAAUCUUAACAUUGGUCGAUAAACUAAGACCAUCUCCAAUCAUAAUUUUAUAAAUAAAGCAACUUCAUCUUUAUUUUCACUUUUUUCACUUUAUAUUUUUAUUCCAUCUCCAAUCAUUACUUUAUUUUAUAAAUAAAGCAAUUUGUGUUUUAUCUUCAAGUUCAACUUCAUAUAUAAAGUAGGAUAGUGCAUGACUUUAUAUAUAAAGAUAGAGUAAUAGAUGAUCGGAGAUGGAUUACUUUAUUUGAAAAAUUAAAAGUGAAGAUAUACUAAGUAUAGAGUGAUGGUUGGAGAUGCCUUAAGGUUGUUUCUAUCUGAUCUGGGUGGCCUUGGAUAUUAAUGCUUGCACCAGAGUUGGUUGGAAUAAUUUGAUAAACAAAGACGUGAUGUUGAUAUAAUGCAUUCACCAUUGAUGUCUUGUUGAUAGAGGUGGCCAAACGGACUAAACCGACUGAACCGGCACGCCCCGAACCGGGUUUUUAACCGCCCGAAACCGUCUAAAUACGGGCCGGUUCGAAACCGUCAUGAACCGAUAUGAGCACGUGCCGAAUACGGGUUGACAAAUAAGGAACCGAACCGUAACCGGCCCGGAACCGCUAGAAUCCAUGGAACCGACGCAGUUGGAACCGCGGAACCGCGGUUUGAACUGUGGAACCGCAAAACCGCGGAACCGCGGUUCAAACCGUGUAAGGUGCAUGUACAAAGGGUGCUUGGUAACCAAUUUUGUGAUAUAAUUACAAGUUUUUGCUUUCUGUAUUUUUGUACAGGGGUAUUAAUUUGUUACUCUUUGUUUUAUUUCGUUUGUUUUGUUAAUUUUAGUUUUUGUUUAGUUAGUUUAGUUUAUUUCGUUAACCUUAAAUAUAGUUUACUUAAUUUUAUUUCGUUUUAGUUAUUAAGUUUAGGUAAUUUUAUUUAAAAAAAUAAUUUAGUUAGUUUUAUUUCGGUUAAGUUUUCAUACUCAAAUAAUUUUCGUUUAGAAAAAUAAUUUAGUUAAUUUUAUUUAGGUUAAGUUUUUAAAUUUAGGUAAUUAUUUAUUAGUUUACAAUUUAUUGAUAAUUAAUUUCAUAUUAAUACUUAACAAAAAUAAUUUCCCAAAUUAAUAUCAUAUAAAACUUUAUUAUCAAAAUUUUAAAUUUUAAGAAUUAUUAAAAUUUACACAUGUUAUUAUAAAACAAAAAAAAAACAAAAAAGCAACACAUGCAUGUUAAGUGAGCCAGACAAUAAUUGAAGAGCCACGCUGAACCGCAGAACAUGAACCGCGAACUGCGGAACCGCUUAAACCGGCACGAACCGCCAACCCGUCUCAACCGUGUGAACCGUAUAACACGGUUUCGGUUUUCAUUUCCAUCAGCCCGGCCCGGCACGGACCGGACAGCCAGUCUUGACGUGCCGGUUACGGUUUCAUCGCUGACAGUUCGGCCCGCGGUUGAAUUGGCCCGAACCGCCCCGGCCCGCCCGAAUGGCCACCUCUACUUGUUGAGCACUGCUUUAUUAUUAUUAUGGGUUUUUCCUUGCGUGAGUAGGCUAAAAGGUCGCUCAACUCAUGACCAACUUACAGUUUCAUAACUCAAAAAGCUUAUUAAUAAAUUACACAACUAGAUUUAACUUACUAUUUAAUCAUUAACAUUAAAAAUGUUUCCACCACCGUUAACUCUUGUUUGACUUUUAACUAAAAAUAUUAGUCAAUUGGGUCUUUCGGUUAUUUAAAUACAAAUUUUUAUUAGUUCCGUAAACCAACUGCAAGUUGAGGACCAUUCGAUCAUGUAUUAGCCUAUUGACUUGUUUCAUUUAAUAAAAAUGCCCUAUUCAGUUCAAACCCAAUUUUUUUGAAUAAAAUUAAUCUAUCAUCUUAUUAUGAAAUUAUAGAAGUGAUCCAUAAUUUUUUUUUAAAAAGGUACUCCCUCUGUCCCAUUUUAACUGAUGUUUGACUUUUUAACACGUAUAUUGAGGUGUAAAAAAAUAAUAUCUACACUCAAUAAAAAAUUUCAAUUCUUAUAUCAAAUAAAAGUUUAGACUCUAAACUUUUAUUUGAUAUAAAUUUUAUAAAAAAUAAUCAUGUUUAGAUGUAAUUUUUUUAACAUCUUAAAAUACGUGUAAAAAAGUCAAAAGCAGUUAAAAUGGGACGGAGGGAGUACUUUUUAAAAAAUUGACAUUUUUCUCUACUUUAAAUUUUAUUAAAUCAUAGAAGUGCUCAUUGUCCCCCCCCCCUAAUUUGAAAAUAUGAAGGUAAUUUCCAUAAAAUUGACAUUUUUCAUAAUUGUAAAUCUUAUGAAAUUAUUGAAGUUCAAAAUUUUUAUUGUGCGAGUCAUGAGAAUGAUUUAUAUUGGUGGAAAAUUUUGUUCUAUUCUACUAUUAUUAAUUAUUAAUGUGAUGAGAGUCAAUAAAAAUAUGUUAGCUAUUUAGAGAGUAAUUGGUUGUUAUGCCGGUUGAUGGCACAUACUAGAAAAUUGGAUUAUUAUUAAUAAUGCUUGCAACAAGUUUAUUGAAAAAAUUGAUAAAAAUAACAUCAUGUCAGUAGAAAACUGACCGAAAAUGAUAAUUUCCGGAUUUUAUUAUUACUCAAUUGCAAAGAGAGUAUUUGUAUUUGUGUGCAAAGAGACACUUGUUUCCCUCUCCAACUUGACCAUUCCGAAAGAAGGAAGAAUUGCUUACUCCAGGCAACAAAUUUCCAGUGCUAUUAACCUGCAGUUUGCUCAUGCUACCAAAACUACACAAACUCGUGAUCUGAUCAACCAUUUCCAUAUUCUCCUCCUCCGGUGAGAAGGGCCUCCCCAGAAACUGAGCCAGACGCCUGAGUUGAGCAUGAGGCUCAGACUUUAACUCUUCAUACCUCAUAAACAGCACCUUGUUUGGUCUUUCUAGGCUUUCCUUCCAAUAUUCCAAGAUUUGAUCCCAUAUAGGACCCGCCACGUUUGUGCCUUGGCAGAAGAAAUGAAAUGCCUCCUCCAAAGAAACAGGAGAAGAUCGUAAACCAAUAUUGUUGGCGAAGUGAAAGAGUGAAGUAGAAGUGUCCUUGAUGUCCCUGCAGAAAUACACAAUCUUGAUGUUAGCUGAUCCAUCCUCCUCCGUUAUGGACUUGGGGAGGCAACCUAUAGGAAAAUGGCAGCCAAAGAUCCUACUAGUGCUGUCUAAGAAUAAGGAGUCAUAUUCGGACGGCUUGGUUAAUGCGAUAAAAGGGACAAGCUGGUGAGGAGAAUUUUUCGCAGGGGGUGAUGAGCAUCUUGAGGAUGAUGUUUCUGGCGGUGAAGUAAAGCAUAGAGAAUGGCGCUUUCAUCCAGGUGGUGCCUGAUUUGGGUGCAGUCACGAGGAAGACAUCGUUUUCUCGAGGUCGAAAAUGUUGUUGACAGUCGAUCAAGCCUUGCAAACUUAAAGUACC